rnacentral:rRNA from 1 species
AUUGAACGCUGGCGGCAUGCCUUACACAUGCAAGUCGAACGGCAGCACGGGAGCAAUCCUGGUGGCGAGUGGCGAACGGGUGAGUAAUAUAUCGGAACGUGCCCAGUCGUGGGGAUAACGUAGCGAAAGCUACGCUAAUACCGCAUACGAUCUAAGGAUGAAAGCGGGGGAUCGCAAGACCUCGCGCGAUUGGAGCGGCCGAUAUCAGAUUAGCUAGUUGGUGAGGUAAAGGCUCACCAAGGCGACGAUCUGUAGCUGGUCUGAGAGGACGACCAGCCGCACUGGGACUGAGACACGGCCCAGACUCCUACGGGAGGCAGCAGUGGGGAAUUUUGGACAAUGGGCGCAAGCCUGAUCCAGCAAUGCCGCGUGCAGGAUGAAGGCCUCGGUUGUAAC